GACAGCGCCUCUACGGCUGGCCCAGCCGCGGGGCCUCGCCUGGGCCCCCGGGGCCAGAGGGAGUUAUGCCGGCUCCGGUCGGAAAACUCCGGGGAGUUUCGCCGCCGCCGGUGUGGAGCGGUUCUGGCUGUGCCCUGGCAGCUGAGAGGGGGCAUCUCCCGAAGCACAGCUUUGUGCAGCGGUGAGCGCUCAGCCGCCCAGACUAACCCCGUUUUUCCGGUAGAAGCAGCUGUCCCAGAAGGCUUGAAAUGUUGUGUGAAUAGUUUGUUGGUUUAACUCAGACCCUUUUGAGAGUGGAGUAAUGAGUUUUCUUUUUGCAUGGUAAGGUAGCAGUGCUUUAACAGAGAGCUGCUUUUUAUCACUGUCAGAUUUAUUUUGGAGAACUGCCUUAGUCUCCACUGCAAACAUGUUAGGUUUUGUUUGUAAUAUUUUGAAGAACACCUUUGAAAAGGAAUUAUGCUGCUUUUUAAACCCUACAUGAUGUUUGCCAGAGUUUUAACUCAUACGUUGUGUAGUUGAAUAAAUCCAUUUUUGUGGCUACCAAAGCA